UACGUAGGGUGCGAGCGUUGUCCGGAAUUAUUGGGCGUAAAGAGCUUGUAGGCGGUCUGUCGCGUCUGCUGUGAAAAUCCGGGGCUCAACUCCGGUUCUGCAGUGGGUACGGGCAGACUAGAGUGAUGUAGGGGAGACUGGAAUUCCUGGUGUAGCGGUGAAAUGCGCAGAUAUCAGGAGGAACACCGAUGGCGAAGGCAGGUCUCUGGGCAUUAACUGACGCUGAGGAGCGAAAGCAUGGGGAGCGAACAGG
rnacentral:rRNA from 1 species